CAGGGAUUUAGACCGAGUCCACGCCAUAUUAGAAGACGUGUGGUCCCUCGGCUUGAAGAAACAAAGCCCUUGGUAGAAGCACGUCAGCUCAGUGAAGAAGAAACAUCUGUUAAGAAAAGAAAAGUCAAGAAAAUCAGCCGGGUCCAGCCAGAGUUCUACCAUUCUGUUCAAGUCACACCUACUCGAAAGCCAGAUUUGUUGCUGGAUGAACUGGGAACCAACAUCAGGAAAGGGAGACAGAUACUAUUUUCACAAUGUCCCCCCCAUGUACACAUAUUUUUUUCUUUAAAAUUAAAAAACCCUGAAUUUUGUCACUUCUUUCCAAAAGAGUUAAUCCAGAUUCUUGAUUAUUUAGUUGUUCUUUCUGCACCUUUUCAACUCUAACUUCUAUUGUGAGAUGUGGCAACCAGAAUAUAGUUCAUUUGCUAUCUGAAAAUAAAAGCAGCACAAAUGAGUGAAAGAGAGAAACAAAAUGAGAGAGAGAUUGAAUAGAUGAAUGAAUAAAUAAAACUUUAAAGGUAGAUGUGUCCCUAAGCCAUCGUUGUUGAAAAGAGAAAGCAGAGCUAGUUGUAGAACAACAGGGAAAUAUUUUAAGAACAUUUGAGCAAAGUGUAAUGUAUGACAUAUUAGAUUUACUACCUCCCAAAUGGUAUAUUAAUUUUUUUUAAUAUAACAACAAAAUUAGAGUAGGCUACAAGCCCACCAUCUACAGAAUGCUGCAGUAAAUAAAUAUUUACUGGAAAAGUGCUUUCUGUUCUUUAGGAGCUUUAAAAUGAUUAUACAUAGCUCUUUUUCUGUGUUUAGCUUGGCAGCCAAGAGAGGAUGUUGUCUGUAGAAAAGAAUAAAUAGCUGAGAUCUGGCAUAUCCCUCCAGCAGAGGGAAGUGGUACACAACCUAUUGCAAUAAGGUAUUAGGUAGGGCUGUUCAGCUCCCACGUUCCUUAGCUUGCUUUAAUCUUUUCAUGUAUUCUUCUUGUCCAGAUUUAUUGCUGAAUCUAGAAAUAAGCCCUGUGGUGCCACGAUCAAAGUUGCGAUGCUAUCUUUAUUUUGCCUUGAAGUGAUGAAAAAUUUAAAAUAAUAUGAUUAGGGAAAGGAAAUGAAUAUAUUAGGCAAGUAUGAAAAAUGUGUAAUAUUUCCAUCUAGGAUCUUAAAUUUCCAUAACUAAAGUAAGCAAAAGAAUAAAAAUAAAAUAGAUACUCAGCCAAAUGAAAAUCCUUAGUACAUGUAAUAGCUAAGGCAAAAAUAAAUGUGUAAGUGUCAAGAAUAACAAAAGUGUUAAUAAAUAG
rnacentral:lncRNA from 1 species